UGAGAUGUAGCCAAGGGGUAAGGCAUUGGUUUUUGGCACCAACAGCGUAGGUUCGAAUCCUAUCAUCUCAA